UCCAGUUACUGGUCUGAUGGGAGUAACUACUCAUUCAGUAACUGGAAACAAUCCUUUAACCCAGAUUAUUCGAUCGGUAUCUUAUGUGGUGCUGCAGCCUUGGCUGAUUCAGGAAAAUGGAAGCUUUCACUCUGUGGAACUAAAUUACCAUUUGUCUGCUACAGUGUCCCUCCACCUCCUGUCAUGAGGAAGGUGGUGAAGCUGAGGAUAAAGGCGAAGGACCUUGGAUCUGCUGAUCUGAAUGACCCUGAUGUGAAAGCAGACAUCCUGAGAAAGCUUCAGGACCGACUGGAGGCCAAAGGAGUGAGGGGAGUCACCCUGAAGUGGAGAGAGCAGCCUGAUGGGAAAGUCUUCCACAAGGAGGAAAAAAAGAAAAGAAAGACUGAGCUCUGAAGCUGAAAGCUUCUUGUGUUUAUCUGUAAUCCAUGGUGAAUGUUGAUUCUAUCUGCUGAUGCACAGAGUAGACUAUUAGAACUGUAGCGCUGAAGCACAAAUACAUCCUGUAGAGCAGGGCUGUCCAAACUUCAUUAAAGAGGGCCAGAUUUGACAAUGUGAAGAUGCCCGGGGGUCAAUACUAACAUUUUAAAAAUGAAAAAAUGAAC